rnacentral:rRNA from 1 species
UACGGAGGAUGCAAGCGUUAUCCGGAAUGAUUGGGCGUAAAGGGUCCGCAGGUGGCAGUGUAAGUCUGCUGUCAAAGAAUGAGGCUUAACCUUAUCAAGGCAGUGGAAACUACACAGCUAGAGUACGGUCGGGGUAGAAGGAAUUCCUGGUGUAGCGGUGAAAUGCGUAGAGAUCAGGAAGAACACCGGUGGCGAAAGCGUUCUGCUAGGCCUGUACUGACACUGAGGGACGAAAGCUAGGGGAGCGAAUGGG